rnacentral:rRNA from 1 species
AAACUAACAAGGAUUCCCCUAGUAACGGCGAGUGAAGCGGGAAGAGCUCAAAUUUGAAAGCUGGCGCCUUCGGCGUCCGCGUUGUAAUCUCGAGAAGUGUUUUCCGUGCUGGACCAUGUACAAGUUCCUUGGAAUAGGACGUCAUAGAGGGUGAAAAUCCCGUCCUUGACAUGGACGCCCAGUGCUUUGUGAUACGCUCUCCACGAGUCGAGUUGUUUGGGAAUGCAGCUCAAAAUGGGUGGUAAAUUCCAUCUAAAGCUAAAUAUUGGGGAGAGACCGAUAGCGAACAAGUACCGUGAGGGAAAGAUGAAAAGCACUUUGGAAAGAGAGUUAAACAGUACGUGAAAUUGUCGAAAGGGAAGCGCUUGAAGUUAGACAUGCCUGCUGGAAUUCAGCCUUGCUUUUUGCUUGGUGUAUUUUCCGGUGAGCAGGCCAGCAUCAGUUUUGUCUGUCGGAUAAGGGUAGGAGGAACGUAGCCCCCCUCGGGGGGUGUUAUAGCCUCUUACUGGAUACGGCGGAUGGGACUGAGGACCGCAGUGUGCCUUUAUGGCGGGCCUUCGGGCACCUCACACUAGG